rnacentral:rRNA from 1 species
UACGUAGGGUCCGAGCGUUGUCCGAAAUUAUUGGGCGUAAAGGGCUCGUAGGCGGUUUGUCGCGUCGGGAGUGAAAACUCAGGGCUCAACCCUGAGCGUGCUUCCGAUACGGGCAGACUAGAGGUAUGCAGGGGAGAACGGAAUUCCUGGUGUAGCGGUGGAAUGCGCAGAUAUCAGGAGGAACACCGGUGGCGAAGGCGGUUCUCUGGGCAUUACCUGACGCUGAGGAGCGAAAGCAUGGGGAGCGAACAGG